rnacentral:rRNA from 1 species
GAUGAACGCUGGCGGCGUGCCUAAUACAUGCCAGUCGAGCGAACGGACGAGAAGCUUUCUUCUCUGAUGUUAGCGGCGGACGGGUGAGUAACACGUGGAUAACCUACCUAUAAGACUGGGAUAACUUCGGGAAACCGGAGCUAAUACCGGAUAAUAUUUUGAACCGCAUGGUUCAAAAGUGAAAGACGGUCUUUCUGUCACUUAUAGAUGGAUCCGCGCUGCAUUAGCUAGUUGGUAAGGUAACGGCUUACCAAGGCAACGAUGCAUAGCCGACCUGAGAGGGGGAUCGGCGAAACUGGAAGGGAGACACGGAAAAGACGACUACGGGAGGAAGCAGUAGGGAAUAUUACGCAAUGGGCGAAAGCCUGACGGAGCAAGGCCGCGGGAGGGAUGAAGGUCUUCGGAUCGUAAAACUCUGUUAUUAGGGAAGAAAAAAUGUGAAAGAAACUGUGCACAUAUUGACGGUACCUAAAGAGAAAGCAACGGCUAACUACGUG